CCCCCUAUAGCUUAAUGGUAGAGCUGCGGACUCUUAAUCCGUAGACCUAGGUUCGAUUCCUAGUGGGGGGA
rnacentral:tRNA from 1 species